UCCCUGACCCUUUAAGGGUCCUGAAGGAACGUUGAAGACGACGACGUUGAUAGGCCGGGUGUGUAAGCGCAGCGAUGCGUUGAGCUAACCGGUACUAAUGAACCGUGAGGCUUAACCUU
rnacentral:rRNA from 1 species